rnacentral:rRNA from 1 species
UUGACCUCGGAUCAGGUAGGGAUACCCGCUGGAACUUAAGUU